ACUCAUUUAUUGAUAAGUGACGCAAAUAACUUUGUGGGUAAAUUGCGUCACUUCUUUCUUCAUUGAGCGACGCAAAUGACUAUUACCACUACCACCCACUCAGUGCUUCCUCUCAUUCAAUAUAAAAUACUCUUGCUCCCAUGUUGCCGUUCGAACUUCAAAAUUAAACCCUAGCAAAUUCAACUGCAAAAUCCCCAAAAAUUCAACAUCAAAAACUCAAGAAAUCCCUCCAACCAACCGAUUCCCCAGCGUUGCCUUGUUGUCGUUCGUACUGCAAAACCUACCGAUUUCAACAGCAAAACCCUGAUAAAUUCGACCCAAACCAACAAAUUUGACCCCAAAAUCAACAAAUUCAACCACUAAUUGAAAACCCCAAAAUAUCCAAGUUAAAACCCCCCAUUUUCUAGCAAAUUCGAGGCAAAACACCCCAUUUUUGAGCAAAAAUCGACCCAAACCACCCACGAAAUUCAAACUAUUAAAAUCGUUGAUAUUCGAGAUGAAAUACCCUAAAUCGAGGCUAGUAUGGGAUUGCUGCUUGUUGGUGUUGCUGUUGAUGGUUAGUUGGGCGGCAUUGGCUGAUUUAUGCGGUGGCAGCACUAUUAAUUGGUGGAGAUUUGGGUGCCGCUGCGGUGGUAAAUUGCUGUUCAAAAGUUGUUGGAGUUCUCACUCGUUCUGCUUUGUUCUAUAAUUUCUCAUUCGUGAGUGAGCUUUUUAAUUUCUCAUUUUAUGUAAACCUUGACUUCAAAAAAUCUAUCACAAUUUCACGGUAUUUUGAGCAAUUGUUCUUGUUUAAUCGAGUGUUUGUAUCUAGAUAUAAAGUUUGAUUAGUGAAUUACUUGGUGCAUGUGUAGCAAGUGGCUUGUGGUCGGUAGUGAGUGUGGUGGUGUGGCUUGGUGCAGCGGGCAAUUUGUUGUUGAAUUGUUUGUGAAUUGCAGGGGAUAAUGUUAAGGUUUCUCUCUUAUAUUCAGAGUAACUCUAAUGUUAUUGUUAUUCGAUGAAUUUUCUUGUUUAAUUGUUCUAUAAUUUGAGAUGUUAUAGUUAAUUUCUUACUUUAUUUCUCUCAUAUUAAAGGUAAAUUAACAUUACAAUUGAAGUGGCAUAAUCUAAUUCUUCAUUAAUUACCGAAUAUCGGUUCCACAAUCUAGAGUUUCAUUAUACACUCUUGCUAAUCUAAAUUUCAGUAUACUCAACUUGUGGCAUUUCUAAGGUGGAUUUUGAACUACAUUUAUGAUUUCACUAGCUUUAUAGUUAAAUAUAUAUUUUCGUUAGAUUCUAUGUAUUCUUUGAUGUUGUAAUAAAGCUAUAUUUUUUCAAUACAUGUAUUGGGUUAUGAAAGUGUAUGACAUAAAGUUCUUGAAGAAUAAGGUUACAGUACUUACAUAUAGCAUAGGCUUGAUUACAUUAGUUAAUUGAUUUUCGUGUGGUGAAAUACUUGGUGCAAGUGCAGCUGAUGGUUGGUGGUUAGUGGCGAUGGUGUGGCUUUGGUGCAGCGGCAAUUUGUUGCAGAGAGAUUUUUUGUUUUUGAGUAGUUUGUAAAUUGCAGGGGAGAAGGUAAAGGUUUCUCUCUCACAGUCACAUAUACAUAUUAACUCUAAUCUUUUUGUAUUUCAUUGAAUUUUCUAGUUUGAUUGUUAUAUAAUAUCAGGUAUCAGUUGGAUCAAUAAUCUGCUUAUUGCAUUUCUCUAGCUAGUUCAAUCUCACAAAUAAGAGCCAUAAUUUCUGCCACAAAAUAAUUACAUGACUUACUAUUUGCAGAAAAAGCCGAGACAUAGUUCCUAAAUCCUAAAUUUCACAUUAGCAUGUUUAUAUAAGACUAAGUUUCAACAUUAUUUAUCACCUGAGAUAAUUGUUUGUUUUUCUAGGGGUUGGGGGAAACUGAUAAUAAUUCUUGAAGCAGUUAAUUUGAUUAGAAUGGGAUCUUGGCAAUAUUUGAUCAUUUACAAAAGUUUUAAAAGAAGUUUAAGCCUCCAAGACAGAGUUUGUCUCCAUGCAAACAAAUUCAUCAUAGUUCAAAAAACAAUGGAGAUUGUGAAAGUGUAUGACUUGAAGUUCUCGAAGAAUAAGGUACAGUGAAUAUUUUGUUGCAUGUAUAGUGAUAAAUAAAAACAAUGGAGUGAAAUAAAUUCAUAACUAAGAUGUAUUUUUUCUUAAAAUAUGGUGAGAAUGAUUAGUAUUCUUAUUUUUCAUGCUUGAGUUUGUAUCUCUUCUGAAAUAAGUUGUAUUAGUAUGUCAACUUACUUUGUUGCCAUGAUGCGUGUAGUGACAUAAAAAAAUUGGGAGGAUGUGAGAUAUGGAUACUAUGUCAUGUGCUAUACGUUUGAAAUAGUUCAACAUCAUCGUAAUAUAAUGAGGACCUUAUUAUAGUUUAUUUAGAACAAUACCUUAUACAGGGGAGGAGAUAAAUGUGGUUCAAGAUAUUUGGUCAGACAAUUUUAUGAGCAAUGUUGAAAUUUAGAAUUUAACUUAGCUAACUCCAUUUAUUUGUUAGACUUUUUUUGUUUAGUUCUUAGGCUUGAAAUGAAUGUAAUUCUGUUAACAAUUUUUUGGGUUGGUCUUUGUUCUUGUGUUGGUUAAUGAUACCAAUCAUUUUGAGUUGUAAACUUUUUGAUAGGAUAUUAGUGUAUACAUUGACGUCAUUCCCAAAUUUAUGGGUAGGUCAAAAUACGAAGGAAAAUCUGUCGAAAUAUAUACUUGAUUUGAUUAA